GAUGAACGCUGGCGGCGUGCCUAAUACAUGCAAGUCGAGCGAACGGACGAGAAGCUUGCUUCUCUGAUGUUAGCGGCGGACGGGUGAGUAACACGUGGAUAACCUACCUAUAAGACUGGGAUAACUUCGGGAAACCGGAGCUAAUACCGGAUAAUAUUUUGAACCGCAUGGUUCAAAAGUAAAAGACGGUCUUGCUGUCACUUAUAGAUGGAUCCGCGCUGCAUUAGCUAGUUGGUAAGGUAACGGCUUACCAAGGCAACGAUGCAUAGCCGACCUGAGAGGGUGAUCGGCCACACUGGAAGUGAGACACGGUCCAGACUCCUACGGGAGGCAGCAGUAGGGAAUCUUCCGCAAUGGGCGAAAGCCUGACGGAGCAACGCCGCGUGAGUGAUGAAGGUCUUCGGAUCGUAAAACUCUGUUAUUAGGGAAGAACAUAUGUGUAAGUAACUGUGCACAUCUUGACGGUACCUAAUCAGAAAGCCACGGCUAACUACGUG
rnacentral:rRNA from 1 species